GGAGAAAACCUUCCCCUCCCUCUCUCCACAGACCCCAGCCCCUCCCUUUUCCCCCUUCUUUCGCCCCCUUCACUCUCCUCUCCUGUCGCUCCCCCUUACCUCUCCCUUUUCCCUUUUCCAUCAGCCCCUCUCCCUCCCUCUUCUCCCCUCAUCCUCUCGUCUCUCUUCUCCUCCGGUGAAUAGCCAUGGAAUCAGCUCACCUCCGAGCUCACGCCACCACUGACGAGGAUGAAGCAGCAGUGCCAUCAGUCGCCGAAUUCGCCAGCGAAAACAAUAAACAACAACUCCAAACGGACAGCAGCUCAAGCCAUCUCCCUUCUUCUCCCCUGUUCCCUUCCCCCUCUUUUUCCGGCGAGUAACAACCAGCAUGCGAGACGGACAGCAGCAAGCCAUCAGCCACCAGCCCCUUUCCCUUCCUCCUCUCCCUCUUUCCGUUUGCCUCCCAGCCACUCCCUCUCCUCUCUUCCCUUCAAACCCACCUCCACAAACCACCGACAACCGCCACUAACAACCUCACCAAACAAAACCCCCAUCCCACUUUUCCUUUACAUUUUUAUUAUUUCAUUUUUUUUCAUUGCAGAUGAAUGAACCAGGGAGGUAAUAGCUCAAAAAAAAAUCAUCAAGUUUCGAGGCUUAUCAAUGGGAAACAAUCCAGAUCCAGCGUACAAUAGCUCCAAUGAGCUUUGAUAUUUUUCUUCAAUUUCUGGUAGAAAUCUUGAACUAUUUUACCAUUUUUUUGUUGAUUUUGUUCUAUGUUGAAUUUCACAUUUCACUUGAAUAUUUUUAUGUGGCUGCUUGUUUGGAAAUCUAUUCUGUUUAAGUAGAUUACUUUUAUUUAUUUAUCUUAUGUUUACUUUACGUUUAAGUUUACACUUCCCAUCUUGCUAAAAUUGUUCAUUGGAUAUUUAAAUAGUAUUACAUUGUUAUUUUUUCUUUUAGAAUACUUUAACUUACAUUAUUUUAUAUAUAUAGAGAUAAAUUCUUUUAGAUUGUUAACUCCGACGAUUAUUAUGUUAGCAAUUUCAUUUGGGUUUGUUUGAUUUCAAAAUUGUAUAGUGAAUUUUAUUUUUUCUAGCGAGCUCCCUGCUUCAAUCCUUAUAUCUUGGUUACUGUCAUGUGAAUGCUUGUUAGAUUUCAUUUAUUUGCGGUUUUUUUAGCUAUUGCUUCUAGUUUACUGUUAUUUUUAUUAGUUAAUAUAAUUUGUUUUCUUUCAAUUAUUAGUUAAAUGAUAACAUAUGUAAAGGUUAAAUUCAAUUAAUGAAGGUUGGUGUUAUAUUUUAGUUACUUAGCUUAAUAAAUGUUGAAGUUGGGAUUUCAUUACUUGAAUGUUGUUUUGUCUUUUUCAUUAAGAUUUUAUUUACAUUUUUGCUCAUUGUUUCAACAUUUUUAAUUAUACAUACUUCUUGCUCGUUGAAUUUUAAACUAAAUUGGCCAAUGAGAAAACUCUCCGUCGAUUUUGGAGGCCUUCCCAUUUUAGAAAGACGGAAUUUUAACUCAAGUUUAUAUAUUUUAAUUGUUAAAAGGGCCGAUGAAAAAUCUAUCCGUCGGGUUUAGAGGCCUUUCCAUUUCAAAAAGACGGAAUUUUAACUCAAGUUUAUAUAUUUUAGUUGUUAAAAGGGCCGAUGAAAAAUCUAUUCGUCGGGUUUAGAGGCCUUCCCAUUUUAAAAAUACGGAAUUUUAACUCAAGUUUAUAUAUUUUUGUUGUUAAAAUGGCCAAUGAAAAAUCUAUCCGUCGGGUUUAGAGGCCUUCCCAUUUUAAAAGACGGAAAUCUAAUUUAAAGUUUAUAUAUAAUUUUAGUUAUUGCAAUUGGCCGAUGAAGAAAUUACCGUCGAUUUCCAAGGCCUCCCAUGUUAAUAAGACGGAUUUUUAUUUUUAAUUAUUAUUUGGUUUAUUCAAUUUUAAUCAUAUUUAUUCUUUACUAACACUUUUACUAAGUGUGUUUACAGGUACCCGGAUGUGCUUUUCCUUUUAUUUCAUUAUUGUAAAUAUUGACGUUAGGCAAACCUUAGGCCGAUAAUUAUUAUUUUAUUUUAUUGUGCAUAUUAAAUGUUUAUUAUACUUGUACUUUAUUUUAUAUUCUUCCUCAAUUUGAAAAAAAUGAAUUCAGUCGGGAAUCACAUUUGUGGAUUCCGAAGGGUGCCUAACCCCUUCCCUUCGGAAUAACUUGAACCCCUUACCUAGAAUCAAUUUGGUUUCGUAGAUUAAUAAUUGGUUUUCUAGUUUUCCUAAAAUUAGGUGGCGACUUUUUUUUAAAACUCGUUUAUUUUUAAAACUUUGUUAAAAUUGAACAAUUAAUUAUUUUCUAGUUACCGCGACGUUUCGCCCUAUUUCGAAAGAUUAGGGAUGUAAACAGAAUGGCGACUCUGUUGGGGAGUUUAGAGGUUUUAACCAAUAUGAAUUUAAUGUUUUUUUUUCAAAUUGAGGAAAUUUUUGUUAUGUUAUAACUUGUAUUUUUAUAUUUUGCUGAUUAUUUGUAUAUUGUAUUUAUUUAUUAUUUAUUUAUUUUGUGUAUAUUAUCAUUGCAUUUCAUGACAUAAUUUUCAUCAACUGACAAAUAGUCUGCAUUAGGACAUAAGAAGUUUAUGUGGCUUACCACGACUUCCUUCAGAAAAACACACAAGUCUAAUCUUUGGAAGUAAUAAACGAAUAGUUGGCUUGCGGUCAUCCAACGCCGUUUAUUAGCUUCACCCCGUUGUCUGUCCGACUCGGGUAACCGUCACUUCUAUACCAAUUCUAGUCACCCUAGGAUAGAGCAAAACCAAAUCCGAAUUUAAGUAUCAGCCUAAGAUGACUCAACACCCAAGGCGUGUUGAGUCCAUUAGAAAGACCACCUUGAGUCCAUAAUGGCUUCUAGCCUAAAAGGACGACCAUAAUUGUGUGUAAUUUGAAGGAUGUAUACAUCUUUUGACAAACCACAGUACAUCUGAAUUAGAAGGUUAUUUUAAUAGUUUACAUUUGUCAAGCUCGAGUUUUCAGAAGCUAUCAUUCCAUUUAAAGGUGUUGACAAUCGGAGAUGACAAGAAUUUCAAGAGGAAGACCCUUCGACAAAGGCUUAGAAUAGGAUGGUACCCCUACGUGAGAUUGAAUAUUUGUAAUUUUUUUCCCUUCUUUCUUUUCAUUUGACUUUAUAAUUCUAUUUCAUUUGUUCAUAAAUUGUACUAAGUGUUUUGGGGGACAAUGGAAAGUUGUCAAAAGACGUUAUACAUCCUUCGAAUCGAUAGGCCUAAGGCAUAAAAGGGUCACAUAUUUGUAUAGGACGCGCCAUAAUUAUUUGUAUGAUAUGUGAUAUAUUUCAGUUUGUCUUUAAUAAAAACAGUGUUUAUGUGUUUUAUUCAUUAUUUGUGUGAUAUUUUACAUUAUUCAUUAUGUACAGGUAUUAACACUUUUACAUUUUGAGUUGUUCUUCUUUACAGCGAAAAUUAAUUUAUGUUCAAAUUCAGAAAUCACUUUUUGUCCGAAGUCACAAGAGACAAGAGGAUUAAAAAAAUUUGAGUCCUUGUAUUUCACAAGACGUUAAUAUCAAGUCAAAAAAUGAUAAAUCAGGGGAGUAUUUGACUAUAAGGUCGCAUCUACUUAUUUUUUUUAUUAUUUUGCAUGACGGUCCUGCUCUCACAUAUUUCUCAUAUUUUUGUAGGAAUACCGUCCCCGACAUCAGUCGGGGAUGGUCAUAACAGUAUUUGGAUCUCGUGAAAAUUGGAAGGAGACAAAGAUCCAAGAAAACAUCCAAAAAGAGUACAACAAAUCACUACUGUAGAAAUUCGUAGAUUCUUUGUAGCACUCAUCACCCACAAGAGGGAAACUACGUUUGACCUGAUUCCUGCUCCAAUGGGAUACGUAGGCGCCACAACGGCUCGGUCAUAUACACAAUGAAUGAACCAAGGAGGUAUUAGCUCUAAAAAAAAUCAUCAAGUUUCGAGGCUUAUCAAUGGGAAACAAUCCAGAUCCAGCGUACAAUAGCUCCAAUGAGCUUUGAUAUUUUUCUUCAAUUUCUGGUAGAAAUCUUGAACUAUUUUACCAGUUUUUUGUUGAUUUUGUUCUAUGUUGAAUUUCACAUUUCACUUGAACAUUUUUAUGUGGCUGCUUGUUUGGAAAUCUAUUCUGUUUAAGUAGAUUACUUUUAUUUAUUUAUCUUAUGUUUACUUUACGUUUAAGUUUACACUUCCUAUCUUGCUAAAAUUGUUCAUUGGAUAUUUAAAUAGCAUUACAUUGUUA